rnacentral:rRNA from 1 species
UUGCUUCUCUUGAGAGCGGCGGAGGGUGAGUAAUGCCUAGGAAUCUGCCUGGUAGUGGGGGAUAACGCUCGGAAACGGACGCUAAUACCGCAUACGUCCUACGGGAGAAAGCAGGGGACCUUCGGGCCUUGCGCUAUCAGAUGAGCCUAGGUCGGAUUAGCUAGUUGGUGAGGUAAUGGCUCACCAAGGCGACGAUCCGUAACUGGUCUGAGAGGAUGAUCAGUCACACUGGAACUGAGACACGGUCCAGACUCCUACGGGAGGCAGCAGUGGGGAAUAUUGGACAAUGGGCGAAAGCCUGAUCCAGCCAUGCCGCGUGUGUGAAGAAGGUCUUCGGAUUGUAAAGCACUUUAAGUUGGGAGGAAGGGCAGUAACCUAAUACGUUAUUGUUUUGACGUUACCGACAGAAUAAGCACCGGCUAACUCUGUGCCAGCAGCCGCGGUAAUACAGAGGGUGCAAGCGUUAAUCGGAAUUACUGGGCGUAAAGCGCGCGUAGGUGGUUUGUUAAGUUGAAUGUGAAAUCCCCGGGCUCAACCUGGGAACUGCAUCCAAAACUGGCAAGCUAGAGUAGGGCAGAGGGUGGUGGAAUUUCCUGUGUAGCGGUGAAAUGCGUAGAUAUAGGAAGGAACACCAGUGGCGAAGGCGACCACCUGGGCUCAUACUGACACUGAGGUGCGAAAGCGUGGGGAGCAAACAGGAUUAGAUACCCUGGUAGUCCACGCCGUAAACGAUGUCAACUAGCCGUUGGAAUCCUUGAGAUUUUAGUGGCGCAGCUAACGCAUUAAGUUGACCGCCUGGAGAGUACGGCCGCAGGUUAAAACUCAAAUGAAUUGACGGGGGCCCGCACAGCGGUGGAGCAUGUGGUUUAAUCGAAGCAACGCGAGACUUACAGCUUGACAUCAAUGAAUCCUUUAGAGAUAGAGGAGUGCCUUCGGAGCAUUGAGACAGGUGCUGCAUGGCUGUCGUCAGCUCGUGUC